rnacentral:rRNA from 1 species
GACAGAGGUGGCGAGCGUUGUUCGGAAUUACUGGGCUUAAAGGGCGAGUAGGCGGUGGAGCAAGUCUGAGGUGGAAUCCUAUGGCUUAACCAUAGAACUGCCUUAGAAACUGUUUCACUUGAGUCAGUGUGGGGAGGGCGGAAUUCCCGGUGUAGCGGUGAAAUGCGUAGAUAUCGGGAGGAAGGCCGGUGGCGAAGGCGGCCCUCUGGCACUGUACUGACGCUGAGGCGCGAAAGCGUGGGGAGCAAACAGG